rnacentral:lncRNA from 1 species
CUGUAAAGCCUCCCAACAGCUUGGCACAUAUACAGAAAGAAGUGUUUCUACAAACACUGCAGGUCAGAGAAGGUUGACUGACGCAUAACUCAAAUUUUUAAUUCCUUUAUCAUGUGUUUAUGAUUAAAUACCACAGUAGUCUCUUGUACAGUGAAACACAUCCGCACAAUGCACAGUGAGCAGCCAAGUGUGAAUAUCUGUUCUUGAUUUCUGCCUUUCUCUGGUGUCCCCUCAAGGUAA